UCCGCUGUAGUCUAAUGGCUAUGAUACACCGCUCUCACCGGUGAGGUCGGGGUUCGAUUCCCCGCAGCGGAA
rfam:Sistotremastrum niveocremeum HHB9708 unplaced genomic scaffold SISNIscaffold_5, whole genome shotgun sequence.